rnacentral:rRNA from 1 species
GUCCUGUUGAUUAUAAUUUUAGGUCUAACCUGCUCAAUGAUUUAAAUUAAAUGGCCGCGGUAUAUUGACCGUGCAAAGGUAGCAUAAUCAUUAGUUUUUUAAUUAAAAGCUGGUAUGAAUGGUUUGAUGAAAAAAUUUCUGUCUCUGUAAAAAUUUAUUAGAAUUUUAUUUUUAAGUGAAAAUGCUUAAAUGAGUGUAGAAGACGAGAAGACCCUAUAGAGUUUUAUAUUGAAAAAAAAGUUUAAUUUUGAAGAAACAAAAAUUUUCUUUGAGUUGAAUAUUUUAUUGGGGUGAUAGAAAAAUUAAUUAAACUUUUUUUUUAAUUAAACAUUUAUUUAUGAGUUUUUGAUCCUUUUCUUAAGAUUAAAAGAUUAAAUUACCUUAGGGAUAACAGCGUAAUUCUUUUUAGAGUUCUUAUCGAAAAGAGGGAUUGCGACCUCGAUGUUGGAUUAAAAUUUUUUAUUGGUGAAGGAGCUAAUAAUAAUAGGUCUGUUCGACCUUUAAAAUUUUACAUGAUCUGAGUUUAAACCGGCGUAAG